ACGGUGUUUUCCUUCCCCCGGCGCAUCUCCCUCCCUUCGUCUGAGUAUCGGUAGCGAGCAUCGGCUAUUAGAAGGGUCAGCAGCGACCUAUGACUACGAGCAACGUCGGCGACAAGUUUCCCGGAACGUUUUCGCCAAAUUUGUGUACUUUUUUCAAAAAAUUUCAUUCUUUUUUACAUGCUUUGAGUGUGAGUGUUCAACCAGAUGCUACUGCCUAAAUAAUAUUAUUUUUUGAAUUUCAAAUUUUUAGUGUGAGUGUUUGAAGGU